rnacentral:sRNA from 1 species
GCAAAGAAACUUCCUUUUCUCGAGCGGGGGUGGGACUUGGCCGGGUCCCGAGGCCCCUGGCCGGCGGGCUCGGACGUUAGGAGCAGAACCAGCUCCAGGUCCCGGUCUGUCCGGGCGUCGCUGCCCUCUGAAGCUCAGGCCGGACACCCAGUCCCUGGCCGAACAAGGCGCCGCGGCCCACCCACCCCGGUACCCGCCGUCCGACCCCGUUGCCCUGCACCUGAGGAUGUUGUCAGCAUAGUAGAAUACGAUGGUGUCCCUUCUCCGACAAAAGGGAAUAUCUGGGCAUUAUCACUGCCAAAGAAAAAUGCCUUUUUGGUGGGUGAAAAUGCUACCUCAUCGCGUUAUUGGCAGAUCCUCGAUUAUCGGCGAGUCACUGAGGUUCCGAGAGGGGUGUCUCUGCUCACGCAAACUGCGACCCAGCCGCCUCCCACGGUCUGACCUCCGCCAAGGUGACGCGG